AUUGAACGCUGGCGGCAGGCCUAACACAUGCAAGUCGAACGAGUGGCGGACGGGUGAGUAAUGUCUGGGAAACUGCCCGAUGGAGGGGGAUAACUACUGGAAACGGUAGCUAAUACCGCAUACCAUCGGAUGUGCCCAGAUGGGAUUAGCUUGUAGGUGAGGUAAAGGCUCACCUAGGCGACGAUCCCUAGCUGGUCUGAGAGGAUGACCAGCCAAACGGGAACUGAGAGACGGUCCAGACUCCUACGGGAGGCAGUAGUGGGGAAGAUGGCGCAAUGGGCGAAAGUCUGAGACAGCCAGGCCGCGUGUAGGAAGAAGGCCUUCGGGGUGUAAAGUACUUGCAGCGGGGAGGCGUUACCCAAAGAAGAAGCAACGGCUAACUCCGUGCCAGCCGCCGCGGUAAUUC
rnacentral:rRNA from 1 species